rnacentral:rRNA from 1 species
UCUCCCGUAAGUGAACCUGCGGAGGGACAUUA